UACGGGGGGGGCAAGCGUUGUUCGGAAUUACUGGGCGUAAAGGGCUCGUAGGCGGCCAACUAAGUCAGACGUGAAGUCCCCAGGCUCAACCUGGGAACUGCGUCUGAUACUGGUUGGCUUGAAUCCGGGAGAGGGAUGCAGAAUUCCAGGUGUAGCGGUGAAAUGCGUAGAUAUCUGGAGGAAUACCGGUGGCGAAGGCGGCAUCCUGGACCGGCAUUGACGCUGAGGAGCGAAAGCCAGGGGAGCAAACGGG
rnacentral:rRNA from 1 species